rnacentral:rRNA from 1 species
UACGGAGGGUGCAAGCGUUAUCCGGAUUCACUGGGUUUAAAGGGUGCGUAGGUGGGUCUGUAAGUCCGUGGUGAAAUCUCCGAGCUUAACUUGGAAACUGCCAUGGAUACUAUAGGUCUUGAAUAUUGUGGAGGUCAGCGGAAUAUGUCAUGUAGCGGUGAAAUGCUUAGAUAUGACAUAGAACACCAAUUGCGAAGGCAGCUGGCUGCACAUAUAUUGACACUGAGGCACGAAAGCGUGGGGAUCAAACAGG